rnacentral:rRNA from 1 species
AUGAACGCUGGCGGCGUGCUUAACACAUGCAAGUCGAACGGUGAAGGAGAGCUUGCUCUCUGGAUCAGUGGCGAACGGGUGAGUAACACGUGAGCAAUCUGCUCCUGACUCUGGGAUAAGCGCUGGAAACGGCGUCUAAUACCGGAUACGAGCUGCGAAGGCAUCUUCAGCAGUUGGAAAGAAUUUCGGUCAGGGAUGAGCUCGCGGCCUAUCAGCUUGUUGGUGAGGUAACGGCUCACCAAGGCGUCGACGGGUAGCCGGCCUGAGAGGGUGACCGGCCACACUGGGACUGAGACACGGCCCAGACUCCUACGGGAGGCAGCAGUGGGGAAUAUUGCACAAUGGGCGCAAGCCUGAUGCAGCAACGCCGCGUGAGGGACGACGGCCUUCGGGUUGUAAACCUCUUUUAGCAGGGAAGAAGCGAAAGUGACGGUACCUGCAGAAAAAGCACCGGCUAACUACGUGCCAGCAGCCGCGGUAAUACGUAGGGUGCAAGCGUUAUCCGGAAUUAUUGGGCGUAAAGAGCUCGUAGGCGGUUUGUCGCGUCUGCUGUGAAAACCCGAGGCUCAACCUCGGGCCUGCAGUGGGUACGGGCAGACUAGAGUGCGGUAGGGGAGAUUGGAAUUCCUGGUGUAGCGGUGGAAUGCGCAGAUAUCAGGAGGAACACCGAUGGCGAAGGCAGAUCUCUGGGCCGUAACUGACGCUGAGGAGCGAAAGGGUGGGGAGCAAACAGGCUUAGAUACCCUGGUAGUCCACCCCGUAAACGUUGGGAACUAGUUGUGGGGUCCAUUCCACGGAUUCCGUGACGCAGCUAACGCAUUAAGUUCCCCGCCUGGGGAGUACGGCCGCAAGGCUAAAACUCAAAGGAAUUGACGGGGACCCGCACAAGCGGCGGAGCAUGCGGAUUAAUUCGAUGCAACGCGAAGAACCUUACCAAGGCUUGACAUAUAGAGGAAACGUCUGGAAACAGUCGCCCCGCAAGGUCUCUAUACAGGUGGUGCAUGGUUGUCGUCAGCUCGUGUCGUGAGAUGUUGGGUUAAGUCCCGCAACGAGCGCAACCCUCGUUCUAUGUUGCCAGCACGUAAUGGUGGGAACUCAUGGGAUACUGCCGGGGUCAACUCGGAGGAAGGUGGGGAUGACGUCAAAUCAUCAUGCCCCUUAUGUCUUGGGCUUCACGCAUGCUACAAUGGCCGGUACAAAGGGCUGCAAUACCGUGAGGUGGAGCGAAUCCCAAAAAGCCGGUCCCAGUUCGGAUUGAGGUCUGCAACUCGACCUCAUGAAGUCGGAGUCGCUAGUAAUCGCAGAUCAGCAACGCUGCGGUGAAUACGUUCCCGGGUCUUGUACACACCGCC